rnacentral:rRNA from 1 species
GCAUAACGCGAAGAACCUUACCAAGGCUUGACAUACACGAGAACACCGUAGAAAUACGGGACUCUUUGGACACUCGUGAACAGGUGGUGCAUGGUUGUCGUCAGCUCGUGUCGUGAGAUGUUGGGUUAAGUCCCGCAACGAGCGCAACCCUCGUUCUAUGUUGCCAGCACGUUAUGGUGGGAACUCAUGGGAUACUGCCGGGGUCAACUCGGAGGAAGGUGGGGAUGACGUCAAAUCAUCAUGCCCCUUAUGUCUUGGGCUUCACGCAUGCUACAAUGGCCGGUACAAUGGGCUGCAAUACCGUGAGGUGGAGCGAAUCCCAAAAAGCCGGUCCCAGUUCGGAUUGAGGUCUGCAACUCGACCUCAUGAAGUCGGAGUCGCUAGUAAUCGCAGAUCAGCAACGCUGCGGUGAAUACGUUCCCGGGUCUUGUACACACC